AAUCAUCCAAGAAAAUCUGUCUUGCUUCUGCCACCGCUUCACAGGGUUCCUCUCCACACCGGCAACGUCCUUGAACUCAUCGGUCGCUCCUCAUCCGCCAAAACACACAUCCUCAUUCACGUCAGUAAUCAGUUCUCCCCUCUUCUCUUCUCCUUCAUCGCAAUCCCCCAAUUUCACUCCAUUCUUCAAAUUUCUGGUUGCAAUCAGUUGCAUUCAUCGUCGCCAGAUCUUCCGUUAACCUCUACCACAUUGCCGUCGUGCGCCGCCGCGGAGAUCAUCUUCUUCAACAGGUCUUGGGUUUUUUUUGCUGUCAAAACAAAUCUGAGAAAAAAGUGGUCAUUUGAAAAAGGGAGGGGAGAGGAAUCUUCUAUCCUACAAUUGAAGGUUUUAAAUUCACUGUUCAUGCACCAACUUUUUUUUUGGACGGGAUAACUAUUGGGCUGGGCCUAUUGAAUCAUGUGGUGGCCCCCUUCACUGCGCAACUUCACCCUCUGUUCUUCCUCUUGGCGUAGGAUUCUGUCAGCUUCACCCCUACACAGCCGUCAGAGAAGCUUUUUCCUCUCAACCACGAAUUUAUUCAGCCCUAGCCCCAACCUUUCAUCCCAUCCCUAUUCCCUAUUCCGUGCGUCCCAUCUGCUAUAUUCACAGGCACAGCUGUGUCGUCCUUGCUGUAUCUUCCAUUGCAGGAUUCUCGCUUGAAGAUGGCUGGCUGGCUGCUAUAACCUACGAAAUUUAUGUAGCACGUGUUCUCCUAUUUCGACUUUCCAUGCUUUCUUGCUUAUAGCUGCGCCUUUAAUGCUUCGCAGGUACCUGCAAGCUCUCAAAACAAGCUGGUGAUGUUGCUUUACAGCUGCUUUGGUAAGCUACUCUUCACGAUGGCAGGUUUGUGUUUGCGUUCCAGAUUCAAUCCUUAUCAAUGAAUAUAUAACUUCACUCAAUCUAUGAAGACCCGCAGAGAAACCUCAAGAUUGAUAUUAUGAGGCUGAAAAGAGAUCAUAUAAGGGUUUCAUGUUUGAACAUAUUCAGAUCUUGAUUUUUCAUCAAUGAAAGAGGAUGCUCAGCUGACUUUUGUUUAAUGUCUUGGAGCUGGAGCAUGCACUAAAAUAAUUGCCUACUCAAUGGAUUUGGUUAAUUGGUUCGAGUUGUGUAGGUUAUGGAUCAAGCUUAGGGCCUACACCCUAGAUCAGAAACCCACCUCCUCAUUCUGCUUUACAGUGCAGGUUGAGUAUUAUCCACGACUGAUUAGUUUUUGGGAACUCCUUGAUAAUUCUUUGGUCAAGCCAUCCUACAGUUAUUCAAGGUCUUGAUGUGGGUAGUUAGUUAAUACAGGUCUAUUAUUUUUUGUUAAUGGAACUUCAAGAAUGGCUGCUAUUAGUAAAGAACAUGAGUAAAGCAGCUCAUUGUCUUUUUGGGCAGCCUUGGAGUUCUAUCUGCUGAAAAUUAACUGACACCAAGUGAAUGAUUUUAUUGGUUUGCUUAUGAGAAAGAUUUAAUACUCUUUCUGUUGUAAGGCUCACUGACUUAAUAUUAGUGCUGAGUUCAACUGUGUGGCAAUUUGCUACUGUUUAGUUUAGAUCUAUAAAUAUUAUUGGAACGUGAUGGAUCAAGCAGAGAAGCAACACUUCAUGCCCUGGUUUGUUACUUUUUUAUGCAAGUUUAAUCGGUCAUAUUGUCAAAAGUUCCUGUUACUUUUGUCUUCCACAUGGCUUUCUAUAGCCUAUUAGUUUUUUUGUUUGAAUUCGGUAA